GCCCGGGUGACGAAAUUGGUAGACGUAGCGGACUUAAAAUUCGCGACCGAAAGGUGUGCGGGUUCGAUUCCCGCCCCGGGCA
rnacentral:tRNA from 1 species